UACGUAGGAUGCAAGCGUUGUCCGGAAUUACUGGGCGUAAAGCGCGCGUAGGCGGCCCGCUGCGUCGGUCGUGAAAGCUCCCGGCUUACCUGGGAGAGGGCGACCGAAACGAGCGGGCUGGAGGGCGGUAGGGGCUGGCGGAACGCCCGGAGUAGCGGUGAAAUGCGUUGAGAUCGGGCAGAACACCAGUGGCGCAGGCGGCCAGCUGGGCCGACCCUGACGCUGAGGCGCGAAAGCCAGGGGAG
rnacentral:rRNA from 1 species